CAUGCAGUCGAGCGGAACGAGUUAUCUGAACCUUCGGGGAACGAUAACGGCGUCGAGCGGCGGACGGGUGAGUAAUGCCUAGGAAAUUGCCCUGAUGUGGGGGAUAACCAUUGGAAACGAUGGCUAAUACCGCAUAAUGCCUACGGGCCAAAGAGGGGGACCUUCGGGCCUCUCGCGUCAGGAUAUGCCUAGGUGGGAUUAGCUAGUUGGUGAGGUAAGGGCUCACCAAGGCGACGAUCCCUAGCUGGUCUGAGAGGAUGAUCAGCCACACUGGAACUGAGACACGGUCCAGACUCCUACGGGAGGCAGCAGUGGGGAAUAUUGCACAAUGGGCGCAAGCCUGAUGCAGCCAUGCCGCGUGUGUGAAGAAGGCCUUCGGGUUGUAAAGCACUUUCAGUCGUGAGGAAGGUAGUGUAGUUAAUAGCUGCAUUAUUUGACGUUAGCGACAGAAGAAGCACCGGCUAACUCCGUGCCAGCAGCCGCGGUAAUACGGAGGGUGCGAGCGUUAAUCGGAAUUACUGGGCGUAAAGCGCAUGCAGGUGGUUUGUUAAGUCAGAUGUGAAAGCCCGGGGCUCAACCUCGGAAUUGCAUUUGAAACUGGCAGACUAGAGUACUGUAGAGGGGGGUAGAAUUUCAGGUGUAGCGGUGAAAUGCGUAGAGAUCUGAAGGAAUACCGGUGGCGAAGGCGGCCCCCUGGACAGAUACUGACACUCAGAUGCGAAAGCGUGGGGAGCAAACAGGAUUAGAUACCCUGGUAGUCCACGCCGUAAACGAUGUCUACUUGGAGGUUGUGGCCUUGAGCCGUGGCUUUCGGAGCUAACGCGUUAAGUAGACCGCCUGGGGAGUACGGUCGCAAGAUUAAAACUC
rnacentral:rRNA from 1 species